UUGAACGCUGGCGGUAUGCUUUACACAUGCAAGUCGAACGGCAGCACGGGGCAACCUGGUGGCGAGUGGCGAACGGGUGAGUAACAUAUCGGAACAUAUCCGGAAGUGGGGGAUAACGUAGCGAAAGUUACGCUAAUACCGCAUAUGCCCUGAGGGGGAAAGUGGGGGAUCGCAAGACCUCACGCUUUCGGAGUGGCCGAUAUCAGAUUAGCUAGUUGGUGGGGUAAAGGCCCACCAAGGCGACGAUCUGUAGCUGGUCUGAGAGGACGACCAGCCACACUGGAACUGAGACACGGUCCAGACUCCUACGGGAGGCAGCAGUGGGGAAUUUUGGACAAUGGGCGCAAGCCUGAUCCAGCCAUACCGCGUGAGUGAAGAAGGCCUUCGGGUUGUAAAGCUCUUUCAGCCGGAAAGAAACGGUACGCUCUAACAUAGCGUGCUAAUGACGGUACCGGCAGAAGAAGCACCGGCUAACUACGU
rnacentral:rRNA from 1 species